rnacentral:rRNA from 1 species
CACGGAGUUAGCCGGGGUUUCUUUACUGGGUACAGUCAUUAUCUUCCCCAGCGAAAGAGCUUUACGACCCUAAGGCCUUCAUCACUCACGCGGCAUGGCUAGAUCAGGCUUGCGCCCAUUGUCUAAGAUUCCCCACUGCUGCCUCCCGUAGGAGUCUGGGCCGUGUCUCAGUCCCAGUGUUGCUGAUCAUCCUCUCAAACCAGCUACUGAUCGUAGACUUGGUAGGCCAUUACCCCACCAACUAUCUAAUCAGACGCGGGCCGAUCUCUCUCCGAUAAAUCUUUCCCCCAAAGGGCGUAUACGGUAUUACGCUCAGUUUCCCGAGGCUAUUCCGUAGAGAGAGGUACGUUCCCACGUGUUACUAACCCGUCCGCCGCUAGACCCGAAGGUCCCGCUCGACUUGCAUGUGUUAGGCCUGCCGCCAGCGUUCGUUCUGAGCCAGGAUCAAACUC